AGUUUUUUUAUAUAUCAUUUGGUAAAUUAUUAUAUUAUUGUUUGUGUGUGUUAUUAUUAUUCGUAUUAUAGCAUAGGUACAGGACCAGCUGGCCAGUCUGCGCUCCACAAACUGUUGAUUCUUUUGAGUUAAAUAUAUUCUGCCAAUGGCCAAAUCACAUCUAUCAAUUCAAUAUCUUAAUGGGGCUAUUUUUGGGCAUAAUGUGUGAUAAGGUUGUCAUGCGUGGACAAAAAAAAUACUGCAACGUGUCUUAUAAUAACAAUGGUGAAUGUUUUAUUCAAUAAAAAAAAUAUACACGACAUGCAUAAUACAGCAAAUAAUUCGUACCAUAUGGCCAGCUGUUUGGCAAUACAUUUUCCUGUGUAAUCGGCGUCCUCAUCUUUUUUUUUUU